CCUACGGGUGGCAGCAGUGGGGAAUAUUGGACAAUGGGGGGAACCCUGAUCCAGCCAUGCCGCGUGUGUGAAGAAGGCCCUCGGGUUGUAAAGCACUUUCAGUGAGGAAGAACGCCUGGUGGUUAAUACCCAUCAGGAAAGACAUCACUCACAGAAGAAGCACCGGCUAACUCCGUGCCAGCAGCCGCGGUAAUACGGAGGGUGAGAGCGUUAAUCGGAAUUACUGGGCGUAAAGCGCGCGUAGGUGGUUUGAUAAGCCGGUUGUGAAAGCCCCGGGCUCAACCUGGGAACGGCAUCCGGAACUGUCAAGCUAGAGUGCAGGAGAGGAAGGUAGAAUUCCCGGUGUAGCGGUGAAAUGCGUAGAGAUCGGGAGGAAUACCAGUGGCGAAGGCGGCCUUCUGGACUGACACUGACACUGAGGUGCGAAAGCGUGGGUAGCAAACAGGAUUAGAUACCCCAGUAGUC
rnacentral:rRNA from 1 species